AGGUGAGGGGUGUGUCAAGGACUGUCUAACCUGAGAAUGGUGAAACGUGAAGGUCAAUCUCAGGUCUGUCAGCCCAUGAGACGCUUCCUCCAG
rnacentral:pre_miRNA from 1 species